UGUGUAGGCGGGUCGUUAAGUACCUUGUGAAAUCCCACGGCUUAACCGUGGAACUGCUUGGUAUACUGGCGAUCUUGAGCCACUUAGGGGUUACCGGAACAAACGGUGGAGCGGUGAAAUGCGUAGAUAUCGUUUGGAACGCCAAUGGUGAAAACAGGUAACUGGGAGUGCGCUGACGCUGAGACACGAAAGCCAGGGGAGCGAACG
rnacentral:rRNA from 1 species